GCCCAGAUGGCGGAAUUGGUAGACGCGCUAGCUUCAGGUGCUAGUGUCUGUAUAGGCGUGGAGGUUCGAGUCCUCUUCUGGGCACCA
rnacentral:tRNA from 3 species